UUAUUUCCCCAUUUCCUCCUUUCGUUUUUCCCCGACUCUCUCUCUCUUCUCUCAACCCAAACGGCGACUAGAAGGCCAUUAAGAUCGAAACCGGAAAAUCAGUUGCUUGGGAGCAUGAACAGUUUUCAAGACUCAGAGUAACUGCGGCCACUUUAUCUGAACUUUCAACUCCACCUGAGUUACUGGAAAAUACUGUAAGUCUGUCUGACACAAGGCAAUUGGUGAAUGAAGAUGCUAUCAUUAAGGGUGUCAAGUUGAAGUUGGUGGCUGAAAGCCUUGCAGUAAACCAACCACUCAACUUAAGUGCUUACUUCUUGUUCUGUCGUUUAUUUGGUUGGACGAGAAAAUGUCAAACAAGUACAUGAAAUCGUUGCAAUUUGUAUUCUUGUUAUUUAUCCUGAUAAUUGACUUAAAUAUUUAUUGACUCCUGCAGAAGCAUAUCUAUGGUCACCAAGGAAAAGACAUUAAGAUUUUUGCUGAUGACAAUUGUUUGGCUGUAAAUCCCUUCUAUGUGAGAUCAUGGUUGGAUCUUUUGUCACAAACCCCUCGGGUGGCACCGUUUCUCUCAAAGAACGAUCCAUUAAUCAUGGCUCUGAAGAAGGAACUUGAGGAUUAUACAGCUGAAGUGAGUGUUCAACAUGAAUCUUUAGACGGAAGUUUCACCUUUUACGACUCAACAAAGGCUAGCCUUAACAUAUACCAGGUGGCGAGUGUAACAUUCGACUUGCUCUUGUUUCUGGUGUUAGGAUCAUAUUUGAUAGUGCUUUUCAGUUUCCUUCUCGAUCACAACCCAACAAUAAAUCUUAUUCCCAAUUUUGUAACAUAUGUUUAAUAUUCCAAAUUUUGUAAA